GGGAAACUGCCUGAUGGAGGGGGAUAACUACUGGAAACGGUAGCUAAUACCGCAUAACCUCGCAAGAGCAAAGAGGGGGACCUUCGGGCCUCUCGCCAUCAGAUGUGCCCAGAUGGGAUUAGCUAGUAGGUGAGGUAAUGGCUCACCUUGGCGACGAUCCCUAGCUGGUCUGAGAGGAUGACCAGCCACACUGGAACUGAGACACGGUCCAGACUCCUACGGGAGGCAGCAGUGGGGAAUAUUGCACAAUGGGCGCAAGCCUGAUGCAGCCAUGCCGCGUGUGUGAAGAAGGCCUUCGGGUUGUAAAGCACUUUCAGCGAGGAGGAAGGCGGUAAGGUUAAUAACCUUAUCGAUUGACGUUACUCGCAGAAGAAGCACCGGCUAACUCCGUGCCAGCAGCCGCGGUAAUACGGAGGGUGCAAGCGUUAAUCGGAAUGACUGGGCGUAAAGCGCACGCAGGCGGUCUGUUAAGUUGGAUGUGAAAUCCCCGGGCUUAACCUGGGAACUGCAUUCAAAACUGACAGGCUAGAGUCUUGUAGAGGGGGGUAGAAUUCCAGGU
rnacentral:rRNA from 1 species